rnacentral:misc_RNA from 1 species
UAAAUUGAUUUUAGCUUAAAACUUACUUAUCUAUUUCAGUUUCUAUUAGAAUUAUUAUUAGACUCAUUAAAAUAAAAGCACUAAUAUAACUAAUAAUAUAUGUUAAAUUCAUUAACUCUACAUAAAGUUUUAUAAUCUAAAUGAAAUACAAUAAUCUGCAUAAAAUUCAAUAGCUUAUAUAAAAUUUAAUAAUUUAUAUAAACAUUAUCAAUCUAUAUAAAAUUUAGUAAUUUAUAUAAAUAUUAUCAACCUAUAUAAAAUUUAAUAACUUAUAUAAAUAUUAUCAACCUAUAUAAAAUUUAGUAAUUUAUAUAAAUAUUAUCAACCUAUAUAAAAUUUAAUAACUUAUAUAAAUAUUAUCAAUCUAUAUAAAAUUUAAUAAUUUAUAUAAAUAUUAUCAAUCUAUAUAAAAUUUAAUAAUUUAUAUAAAUAUUAUCAAUCUAUAUAAAAUUUAAUAACUUAUAUAAAUUUAACUAAUUUAUAUAA